AAUGAACGUUAGCGGCGCGCCUGAUGCAUGCAAGUCGUACGGUUCCGGCGCAAGUCGGAAUAGUGGCAAACGGCUGAGUAACACGUAAGUAACCUGCCUCUAAGUGUGGGAUAACCUGCCGAAAGGCAAGCUAAUACCGCAUGUGCUAUAUAGUUUAUUCUUUAUAGUAAAGUUUCGGCGCUUAGAGAAGGGCUUGCGUCUGAUUAGCUAGUUGGUGUAGGUAACGGCCCACCAAGGCGAUGAUCAGUAGCUGGUCUAAGAGGACGACCAGCCAGACAGGGACUGAGACACGGCCCUGACUCCUACGGGAGGCAGCAGCAAGGAAUUUUGCGCAAUGGGCGAAAGCCUGACGCAGCGACGCCGCGUGGGGGAUGAAGGCUUUCGAGUUGUAAACCCCUUUUCUUGAGGAAGAAUAAUGACGGUACUCAGGGAAUAAGUCUUGGCUAACUACGUGCCAGCAGCCGCAGUAAAAC
rnacentral:rRNA from 1 species